UACGUAGGGGGCUAGCGUUGCUCGGAAUCACUGGGCGUAAAGCGCACGUAGGCGGACUCUUAAGUCGGUGGUGAAAUCCUGGAGCUCAACUCCAGAACUGCCUUCGAUACUGAGAGUCUUGAGUCCGGGAGAGGUGAGUGGAACUGCGAGUGUAGAGGUGAAAUUCGUAGAUAUUCGCAAGAACACCAGUGGCGAAGGCGGCUCACUGGCCCGGUACUGACGCUGAGACGCGAAAGCGUGGGGAGCGAACAGG
rnacentral:rRNA from 1 species